AAACUGCUUCAAAUCCCAGGUCCCUCCAACCCAUUUGAGGUCCUCAAAUUUAGUCACCAGUACCACAUCCCCAGCAGCAGCAGCCCCAUUAGGCUGUGAAUCCAAAACAGCAGCCUCUGGGGCCUUCUCCUCUGCCUUUUCAGGCUCCACAGUGGUGGCAGAGGUUGAAGUCCCGGCACCAUUUUCUGUGGCCUUUGCGGACAGAAGCAAGAGUUGGUGCUUCUUGGAUCUCAGAAAGAGACUUGGCUUGAGCGUGAAAUUGGGUUUGGG
rnacentral:lncRNA from 1 species